rnacentral:tRNA from 1 species
GGAUAUAGCCAAGUUGGUAAGGCAAUGGAUUCUGACUCCAUCAUUGCGCAGGUUCGAGUCCUGCUAUC